UGAAUGACCAGUAAGUUACAAAAAGAGUUCAUAGCCUAUACUAAAUUCUAUCUUAAAUGAGCUGGUAAAAUUAUUUUACUGAAUGAUUAUCAAUUUUUGUCAACUUGUUUAAAAUUCAGUUCCCCUCAGCUCAUACCUUUAAUACUAAUUUUCUUUCCAUACUCCUUUUCAGGAUCUGCCUAACUCAAUUACCAGGAAGAGACAAGUAGACAAAAUAAAGUUUGUGGUGAGCCAGACUUUUUCCCCAUAUGUGCACAGACCACGUGGUCUAUGAACAUGAAAAACCCCACAUCCUGUUGCGGGGAGUCACACAGAUACUGGGUAGUAUGUAUAUGUGCUGCCAGGCACUCAAAGACACUGAACUCUCAGCUUGAGGCAGAAACUAAGCACAUUUGUGCAGGGGAAUCCACGCCUCAUGCCGCUCUCCAGCCUGCUCUGGGUGCUCCUGGCCUUCACCUUCUCUGGAUCUGGUGUGGCGCAGAAUGUUAUUCAAGACCAGCCAAACACAUCCGGUCAACUGGGACAGUCAGUCACCCUGAACUGUCGGUAUGGAAGAACCUGGAGCUACAUGUUUUGGUACAAGCAGCUUCCCAAUGGAGAGAUGAUUUACCUUAUUAGUCAGGCUUCUUCUGGCCAGAAUGUAAGGAAUGGCCGCUACUCUGUAAAUUUCCAGAAAGCUCAUAAAUCCAUCAGCCUCACCAUUUCAGACUUACAACUGGAAGAUUCUGCAGAGUAUUUCUGUGCUCUCUGGGAGCUCACAGUGCUUGAAGUAAUGGAAAUAGCUAAACAAAAACCCCAGAGUUUAAUAAAAGAGAGCUUCCCUGCUGCAGAACUCCAGCUGAAAUAUGCACCUGCAGAUCCCAGAUCAGAAAUGGUAGUUGUGUGGUUGCUUAAUCUGUGGUCUGGAAGUUCCUUUUAAGUCACUUAGGAACAGAUGUCCAAACUAACUUUCUAGUAAUAUGUUCUCAGUCUUGAUUUUUUAAAGUUUAUAUCAAUCAUACAGAACAUGUGCAAAGUUGUCUAAAUUUGAAAACUUGCCCUAUAAUAAUUUAAUGUGGCAACUGCACCUAAAAAAAUCUCACAUCAUAAAUCUGGGUUUAAUUUU